ensembl:snoRNA
CAUCCUGUUUUAGUACUAUGCACCUGCUUCUUAUUACGGGUGUGUGGCUAUGCUAACAGGAAAGAGAAACUGUCCAUCAUGAUCUGAAAGGGUCGAGCAGCCUCAUUUCUGCCACUCUUAAAGAAAUGAUGGUACAGUGCAUG